AGACAUUGGCUUUGACUUCCGCUUGAACUUCUGAACUUUAGCCUUUGGGCGUUUGUGUUCAGUUGAGGAUCUUUUCCCAAAUCCUAGGCCAGAUUUGGUUCCAGACUGCUGUCCCACCUUUAGAAUCUCUUCCAAGGUGUCAGUUCCCUUAUUCAUCAUUCUGAUGGAUUUAGUCAUCUGGUUCAGCUUGGAGGUCAGCAAGGCUAUCUCACCAUUUAGACCCUCUAUGGCUGUCAGAUGCUUCUGUC
rnacentral:lncRNA from 1 species